AUUGAACGCUGGCGGCAGGCCUAACACAUGCAAGUCGAGCGAGCGGCGGAGGGGUGAGUAAUGUCUGGGAAACUGCCUGAUGGAGGGGGGUAACUACUGGAAACGGUAGCUAAUAUCGCAUACCAUCAGAUGUGCCCAGAUGGGAUUAGCUUGUAGGUGGGGUAACGGCGCACAUCGGCGACGAUCCCUCGCUGGUCUGUGAGGAUGACCAGCCACACUGGAACUGAGACACGGUCCAGACUCCUACGGGAGGCAGCAGUGGGGAAUAUUGCACAAUGGGCGCAAGCCUGAUGCAGCCAGGCCGCGUGUGUGAAGAAGGCCUUCGGGUUGUAAAGCACUUUCAGCGGGGAGGCGUUACCCGCAGAAGAAGCACCGGCUAACUCCGUGCCAGCAGCCGCGGUAAUAC
rnacentral:rRNA from 1 species